rnacentral:rRNA from 1 species
AUUGAACGCUGGCGGCAGGCUUAACACAUGCAAGUCGAGCGGGGGAAGGUAGCUUGCUCCUUGAUUCAGCGGCGGACGGGUGAGUAAUGCCUAGGAAUCUGCCUGGUAGUGGGGGACAACGUUUCGAAAGGAACGCUAAUACCGCAUACGUCCUACGGGAGAAAGCAGGGGACCUUCGGGCCUUGCGCUAUCAUAUGAGCCUAGGUCGGAUUAGCUAGUUGGUGGGGUAAUGGCUCACCAAGGCGACGAUCCGUAACUGGUCUGAGAGGAUGAUCAGUCACACUGGAACUGAGACACGGUCCAGACUCCUACGGGAGGCAGCAGUGGGGAAUAUUGGACAAUGGGCGAAAGCCUGAUCCAGCCAUGCCGCGUGUGUGAAGAAGGUCUUCGGAUUGUAAAGCACUUUAAGUUGGGAGGAAGGGCAGUAAGUUAAUACCUUGCUGUUUUGACGUUACCGACAGAAUAAGCACCGGCUAACUCUGUGCCAGCCGCCGCGGUAA